CAGCAGCCACGGUAAUACGUAGGGUGCGAGCGUUAAUCGGAAUUACUGGGCGUAAAGCGAGCGCAGACGGCUACUUAAGCAGGAUGUGAAAUCCCCGGGCUCAACCUGGGAACUGCGUUCUGAACUGGGUGACUAGAGUGUGUCAGAGGGAGGUAGAAUUCCACGUGUAGCAGUGAAAUGCGUAGAGAUGUGGAGGAAUACCGAUGGCGAAGGCAGCCUCCUGGGAUAACACUGACGUUCAUGCUCGAAAGCGUGGGUAGCAAACAGGAUUAGAUACCCGCGUAGUCCCUGUCUCUUAUAC
rnacentral:rRNA from 1 species